UACGGGGGGUGCAAGCGUUAUCCGGAUUCACUGGGUUUAAAGGGUGCGUAGGGGGGCAGGUAAGUCAGUGGUGAAAUCCCCGAGCUUAACUUGGGAACUGCCGUUGAUACUAUCUGUCUUGAAUACUGUGGAGGUAAGCGGAAUAUGUCAUGUAGCGGUGAAAUGCUUAGAGAUGACAUAGAACACCAAUUGCGAAGGCAGCUUGCUACACAGUAAUUGCCACUGAGGCACGAAAGCGUGGGGAGCAAACAGG
rnacentral:rRNA from 1 species